AAACCAACCACCAACACCAAGUCUUCUCAUCCAAGAAUUUCACCAAGACAAAUUUUUCAUGAUCCGACAGAUCGAAUACCAAUAGAAGAUUAUGCCCCUAAAAUUCGAAGUGAAGUUAGAAGAGCUUAUUUGUUGAAAGGAAGAAACAAAGCUGAAGGACAUAAUUUUGAAAUCACAUUGUAUGGUACAAUCAGGAGAUCUUUUCAACCACACCGGCUAGAGAGGUUUGAUUGGUUGGAAUAUAGUUUGAAGGAGGUUGCCUUUUGCUUCCACUGUUUUCUUUUUAAGAAACCAUCACAGGAUGCUACAUUUGGAAAUGAUGUAUUUACAUUACAUGGUUAUCAUCAUUGGAAAACAACUUUGGCAACUUUUCAUAAACAUAUUGGUGGGCCAUCUAUUUACCAAAACAAUCCUAUAGGCUUGUGUGAUGAUUUCAACAAUCAAAGGCCUAAUGUGGCAACUAGAUUCCGUGUUUACAAUAAAGAGUCCGAGAUAGGCUACAAAACCCGUUUGACUGCAUCAUUGGAUUAUGCAAGGUAUCUCACGGCACAAGGGGAAGCUUUUCGUGGACACGAUGAAUCCUCCAAUUCAACGAACAAAGGGGAUCUUAGGGAGCUCUUUGACUGGUACAAGUGUAAGAGGAAAGAUGUGGAGGAGGCAUUUGAUAAGGGGCAAGGUAAUGCAUUUAUGAUAUGUGGAGAUACCAAAAGGACCUUGGCAUGUUGCGCAAUGGAGGUAACCAAAGUCAUCAAGAGUGAGCUUGGACAUAAGAAAUUUUUAGUUCUAGUCGACGAGGCUAGAGAUUGCUCAAUAAAGUAGCAAAUGGCAGUGAUUUUGAGUUUUUGGAUGAUCAUGGGGUGCUUUAGGAGAGAUUUCUUGCAAUUAAGCACAUCUCCGAUUUUAUAACUAUUGGAGUUAAAGAUGCCUUGGUUGAUGUGUUAGUUUACCAUGGCUUGCCUAUUUCUAGACUACGUGGGGCGGGUUAUGAUGGAGCUUCAAAUAUGAGAGGUGAAUUCAAGGGUUUGCAAAAGUUGAUCCAAGAUGAGAGUCCAUAUGCUUUCUAUGUUCACUGCUUUGCCCAUCAAUUGCAGUUGGUAGUUGUCACAGUUGCUUGAUGUUGUCUAGUUAUUGCUGAUUUCUUUAGUUAUCUUCCCUUGAUAGUGACUCAGGUGGGUUCAUCUUGCAAGAGAAAAGAUGCAUUACUUGCAAAGCUUCAUGAUGACUUGAUGAAAUUGAUGGAGCAUGGUAAGAUCUCAGCUGGAACUAGGUUACGUUAAGAAACUAACCUAUCUAGCCUAGGAGCUACUCGUUGCGGCUCACACCUUAGAACCUUGCUUCGUAUUUACAAAAUGUGGAAUGCAGUUGUGGAUCUAGCAAUCGUGUUUGACGAUGCACGAGAACACACUUGUCAAGAUGGAGCUUCAGGUUUGAUCAUAAAGAUGGAAUGUUUCCAAUUUGUGUUUAUCAUGCUAUUCUUAAUAAACUUUUUGCAAACCACAAAUAUGCUAUCACAAGCUUUGGAAAGUAAGAAUCAAGAUGUUGUUGAAGCCAUGCGUUUGAUCUUGGAUGUGAAAGAAACUUUGCAAGAUAUGAGGGACACUAGAUAUGAGUCAUUAUGCAACCAAGCCAAAAUCUUUUGUGAGGAACAUGGCAUUUAUGUGCCAAGUAUGGAUGAUCUUGUUGGAGCUAUGGGUCAAUCUGUUCACACAAAAAUAAGGUGACUCAGACAACAUUAUCUCAAAGUUAGCAUAUUCUACGUUGUUAUUUAUGCAACUAUUACCGAGAUGAACCAUCGGUUCAAUGAAGUUAACCCCGGGUUAGUGGAUUGCAUGUCUUGUCUUAAUCCAGCCAACAACUUUGCAAAGUUUAAUGUUGACAAACUUAUUCGACUUGCUAAAAUUUAUGCGGAUGAUUUUACAGAAACUGGCCGCUUGUUGCUAAGAUUUGACCUUCCAAGAUUCCUUAGAAAUACGAGGAGAAGUGAGAAAUUUAAUGGAUGUUCAUAUGUUUCCACCCUUGCUCCUUUGAUGGUUUAAUCAACAAAACAUGCAACUUUCCUAUUGCGAAUAUUUUCAGCAAUGAAGAUCAUCAAAACAGAUUUGUGCAAUAAGAUCUCAAAUGAUUGUCUCAAUGACUUAAUGGUAUGCUACUGUGACAAAAGGAUAUUCAAAAGUAUUCAUGAUGAUCAGAUCAUGAUACAAUUCCAGAAAAAUAGCGAACGGAGAGCUCACUUGCCUCGUGAGUAUAAUGUGAUU
rnacentral:rRNA from 1 species